GCCCAGUGAUAUUAAUUCAACGGCCGCGGUAUCCUAACCGUGCGAAGGUAGCGUAAUCACUUGUUCUUUAAAUCAGGACUAGUAUGAAUGGCACCACGAGGGUUAUACUGUCUCCCUUUUCUAAUCAGUGAAACUAAUCUCCCCGUGAAGAAACGGGGAUAAAUUUAUAAGACGAGAAGACCCUAUGGAGCUUUAAAUUUUUUACAACUGCUUAAACCUAAAAACAAAGUCCCAGACUAUCUGUAUGAAUACUAGCACAAUGAUAAUAAAUUUUAGGUUGGGGUGACCGCGGAGCAAAAUAAAACCUCCAUGUUGAACUGAGCCUCAAGCCCUGAACACAGAGCUACAACUCUAAGUACUAACACAUUAACAUAUAUUGACCCAAUAUUUUUGACCAACGAACCAAGUUACCCUAGGGAUAACAGCGCAAUCCACUUUAAGAGCCCCUAUCGACAAGUGGGUUUACGACCUCGAUGUUGGAUCAGGGUAUCCCAGUGGUGCAGCCGCUACUAAUGGUUCGUUUGUUCAACGAUUAAAACCCUACGUGA
rnacentral:rRNA from 1 species